UAGCUGUCUUAUCAAUUUCUUUCAACUAGAGCAGGUAAAAGAACUACUCAGUUUUAGAUUCUGAUAUUAUUACUACUGAUGAAUCUCAACUGGGGCGGAAGAUUCGGAAAGGUGUGUCUGAUCACCACCAACUUCUUAAUUACUGUAGUGGGACUAGGGAUGGUCACUGUGGGGGCCCUAGCUGUAAGGGACAUGGCAACCGUAAACAAGGACAAAAUCAAACCUCUUCUGGACUCACUCUCAGUAGAUUCCUUCAGCGUAGGCGUGGUCAACAGUCUGUCCAUCAUUAUCAUAGUUGUCGGAGUCUUCAUUUUCUUUGUGGCUGGACUGGGUAUAUAUGGCGCCUGUUGUCAAAAUAAAUACUUGCUUGUAACGGUAAGAAUGAAAC